rnacentral:tRNA from 1 species
UAGAAUUUGGUGUAAUUGGGAGCACGGAGAGNUUUGGAUUCUUAGGNGUAGG